CCCGCCCGGGUCCAGCUCCCGCCCCAGCACCAUGAAGACGCUUCUCCUCUGCUGCCUCGUCUGGGCCCUGCUGGAGACAGGGACCUGUGUUUUGUGUGAGGUCUGCCACAGCGAAGGUGACAGCUGUAUGGGCCCUGUGAAAUUCUGCAGCAAGGAACUGGAUUCCUGCGGGAUCAUGAAAACAGAAUCCGUAGUAGAUAGGUCAGAAUCACACCUGUGAAGCGUUGCAAGGGGGAGGCAGAGACCUGAAGCCUCAUCUCCUCUUCCUCC